CCUACGGGGGGCUGCAGUGGGGAAUAUUGCACAAUGGGCGCAAGCCUGAUGCAGCCAUGCCGCGUGUGUGAAGAAGGCCUUCGGGUUGUAAAGCACUUUCAGCGGGGAGGAAGGCGGUGAGGUUAAUAACCUCAUCGAUUGACGUUACCCGCAGAAGAAGCACCGGCUAACUCCGUGCCAGCAGCCGCGGUAAUACGGAGGGUGCAAGCGUUAAUCGGAAUUACUGGGCGUAAAGCGCACGCAGGCGGUCUGUCAAGUCGGAUGUGAAAUCCCCGGGCUCAACCUGGGAACUGCAUUCGAAACUGGCAGGCUAUAGUCUUGUAGAGGGGGGUAGAAUUCCAGGUGUAGCGGUGAAAUGCGUAGAGAUCUGGAGGAAUACCGGUGGCGAAGGCGGCCCCCUGGACAAAGACUGACGCUCAGGUGCGAAAGCGUGGGGAGCAAACAGGAUUAGAUACCCCGGUAGUC
rnacentral:rRNA from 1 species